CCUUCGGGAUGCUGACGAGUGGCGGACGGGUGAGGAAUGCAUCGGAAUCUGCCUGUUUGUGGGGGAUAACGCAUGGAAACGUGCGCUAAUACCGCAUACGUCCUUUUGUCGGGAGAUGAUUGGAGAAAGUGGGGGACCUUCGGGCCUCACGCGAACAGAUGAGCCGAUGUCGGAUUAGCUAGUUGGUGGGGUAAAGGCCUACCAAGGCGACGAUCCGUAGCUGGUCUGAGAGGAUGAUCAGCUACACUGGAACUGAGACACGGUCCAGACUCCUACGGGAGGCAGCAGUGGGGAAUAUCGGACAAUGGGGGCAACCCUGAUCCAGCCAUGCCGCGUGUGUGAAGAAGGCCCUUGGGUUGUAAAGCACUUUUGUUGGGGAAGAAAAGUUUUCGGUGAAUAACUGGAGACGCUGACGGUACCCAAAGAAUAAGCACCGGCUAACUUCGUGCCAGCAGCCGCGGUAAUACGAAGGGUGCAAGCGUUACUCGGAAUCAUUGGGCGUAAAGGGUGCGCAGGCGGCCUGCCAAGUCUGAUGUGAAAGCCCUGGGCUCAACCUGGGAACGGCAUUGGAAACUGGUGGGCUGGAGUACGGUAGAGGGUGGUGGAAUUCCUGGUGUAGCAGUGAAAUGCGUAGAGAUCAGGAGGAACAUCCGUGGCGAA
rnacentral:rRNA from 1 species